UACGUAGGGUGCGAGCGUUAUUCGGAAUUACUGGGCGUAAAGCGUGCGCAGGCGGUUUUGUAAGUCGGAUGUGAAAGCCCGGGGCUCAACCUGGGAAUUGCAUUGGAUACUGGCAGGCUAGAGUGCGGUAGAGGGUAGUGGAAUUCCCGGUGUAGCAGUGAAAUGCGUAGAGAUCGGGAGGAACAUCCGUGGCGAAGGCGACUACCUGGACCAGCACUGACACUGAGGUACGAAAGCGUGGGGAGCAAACAGG
rnacentral:rRNA from 1 species